UUCAUAAUAUUUCAUCCUGUUUUGAGAAAUACUUUAUAGUUUUCAACGGAAAAUUAUUUCUUAGAUUCUAAAUCAAUUUUUGAAUUAAACAAACUUAUUUGUAUUUUAUAUUUACUGUCUCGUUUAUUCAAAACACGUGAGGUAGUAAUAACGGGGAUCGUAUUUUAUGAUAGGUUAAAUGGAUGUAAAACGUUUUAGAAUCAAAAACUUUAAUUCAUAUAUUAUACCUAUAAUUUUAAUUUUCUUAUAUUUUAAAUAUUUGAAGAAAUAAUGAAUCCACAAACAAGUUGGAAUAAUUUGUAUACGCUCGUCUUAGUCGGGACACAUAAUGGUAUAAAGAAGUCCGUCCGUGCUAAUGUCUGUCCGUCUGUCAAUAGUAGCGAAAGUGUGCGCUAGGGCGAAGUUCUGAAAUUGACGCGACAAAAAAAACCAACACAUCUAGUCUAAUAUAGUCAAAUAGUCUGUAAGUAAUCAUCUUUCAUUUCUCUUUUUAUUUUCAAUGAUUUUGCUAAUGAGAUGGAGAGGACAAAAACAGACUUUCCUUUCUAAAGCGUCGAACAAUUUUUCAAUCCGACGGAUGGUGUUUCUGGAGGUUAAUUUUGUGCGGCAACAACAUCAUGAGAUCUGAUACUGAUACAUACAUGUGAUCUCUUGUAUUACCGGAUAAUAAAGUUUGAUAUAAUGGUAUUUUUUGAGAGUUUGAAUAACAAGCAAAUAUCAUAUGGUUACAUCUUCUGACAUCAGACUCGGACUUCUCUUGAACUGAAUUUCAAUAUAUGUCGGCACUGAAAAUAAUUGGUCGUAAUUACUUUUCCUGAACUUAAAAAUGAAUGGUACGAUAGAAGGACAUUGGAGUUUGUAAAGGAACACACUGCAUGUCAAAAAGACCGCGACGGAGCCCAAUUAUGGAGUGAUCUCGUAUUUCCAACUUUCAUCAACAGAAUGUAACGAUGUCUUUCAAUAAUUUUUAUGAAACAUUUCAAGGAUUUAAAAAAGAUAAAGAGCAUGCAAGAAUGAGAACAACAUAACAUCUCCAAUACACACAAGUGACUCACAGUCGGACAAGCGGGUGAAUGUUACAAGGAAUAUGAUGUUAAUAAUACCAUACUGCAGACGUAUUCGGGACAAUGGUAUCAAUAGACCAAAGCAGAAUAUAUGUCAACUUGUGGUUAAAAUAGUUCAAAAAUAAACCCAAAAUGAUUUAACUGGAAAAUAUGAAAGAUAAUGCAAAGCAAAAAACAUCUACCGUAUUCAAAUAAAAAGGCGAUUUGGUAUUAGACGCAAAUAUGUGAGCAUACAGCAAUCAAGAUGCAUAAAUUACAGACGUAUACAUGAGUGGUAUGGUUUAAUCCAUAAGAAGGAUUUAUCAAAUAUAAGUGUUUGAGUAAAAUUGAGAAUGGAAAUAAGGAAUAUGUCAAAGAGACAACAAUGUAUUAUGAGAUGCAAUAUACAUUGCAUUGUUUUCAAGGGUACAAGCGGGAAAUUCUAAUUGAGAAUAAUUAAUGCCCAUGCUCCUUACAGUGGACAAUACGUCAGAAUGCGCAUGCAUAAAACAAAAUGUUUGUGAUGCCGAGAUGCAAUUGAAUUACACCAUCCAAAAUAUAUUGCAGCUGAUAUAAUAUAUUUUGUUGAAUCUGUUAUUGACAGGGAAUUAUUAAACGCAAUGUUUUGAAUGUGGUAAUGAAGUUCGCAAAUAGUCAAUGAAUACUGUUUUUUCUUCACGUCCUAUCAAAAUUUG